AUACAGAGGGUGCGAGCGUUAAUCGGAAUUACUGGGCGUAAAGCGCGCGUAGGCGGCUUGGUCAGUCGGAUGUGAAAGCCCCGGGCUCAACCUGGGAAUGGCAUUCGAUACUGCCAGGCUAGAGUAUGGGAGAGGGAAGUGGAAUUUCCAGUGUAGCGGUGAAAUGCGUAGAUAUCGGAAGGAACACCAGUGGCGAAGGCGACUUCCUGGCCCAAUACUGACGCUGAGGUGCGAAAGCGUGGGGAGCGAACAGGAUUAGAAACCCCAGUAGUCC
rnacentral:rRNA from 1 species